rnacentral:rRNA from 1 species
GACGAACGCUGGCGGCGUGCUUGACACAUGCAAGUCGAACGGAAAGGCCUGCUUUCCCUUGUGGAUUGCGGGUACUCGAGUGGCGAACGGGUGAGUAACACGUGAGUGAUCUGCCCCCAACUUGGGUAUAAGCCUGGGAAACUGGGUCUAAUUCCCGAUAGGACUGCAGGGUGGUGCCUGUGGUGGAAAACGAUUUUCUAGUGGUUGGGGAUGAGCUCGCGGCCUAUCAGCUUGUUGGUGGGGUAAUGGCCUACCAAGGCGGCGACGGGUAGCCGGCCUGGGAGGGUGGACGGCCACAUUGGGACUGAGAUACGGCCCAGACUCCUACGGGAGGCCGCAGUGGGGAAUAUUGCACAAUGGGCGGAAGCCUGAUGCAGCGACGCCGCGUGGGGGAUGACGGCCUUCGGGUUGUAAACUCCUUUCGACCGCGAGGAAGCCACCUGGUUGGAAGGGUGGUGACGGUAGUGGUAGAAGAAGCACCGGCUAACUACGUG